GGGGUUGUGGCUUAGUGGUAGAGCGCUUGCCUAGCAUGUGAUUCUCAGCACUGCAUAUAAAUGAAAGAAAAAAAAAUAAAGGUCCAGGGCUGAGGUUGUGGCUCAGCAGUAGAGCGCUCACCUAGCAUGUGCAAGGCCCUGGGAUCGAUCCUCAGCACCACA
rnacentral:tRNA from 1 species